GCCGCGGUGGCGGAACUGGUAGACGCGCUGGACUCAAAAUCCAGUGAUGGCGACAUUGUGAGAGUUCGAGUCUCUCCCGCGGCACCA
rnacentral:tRNA from 1 species